rnacentral:rRNA from 1 species
GACGAACGCUGGCGGCGUGCUUAACACAUGCAAGUCGAACGGAAAGGCCUGCUUUCCCUUGUGGAUUGCGGGUACUCGAGUGGCGAACGGGUGAGUAACACGUGAGUGAUCUGCCCCCAACUUGGGUAUAAGCCUGGGAAACUGGGUCUAAUUCCCGAUAGGACUGCAGGGUGGUGCCUGUGGUGGAAAACGAUUUUCUAGUGGUUGGGGAUGAGCUCGCGGCCUAUCAGCGUGUUGGUGGGGUAAUGGCCUACCAAGGCGGCGACGGGUAGCCGGCCUGAGAGGGUGGACGGCCACAUUGGGACUGAGAUACGGCCCAGACUCCUACGGGAGGCAGCAGUGGGGAAUAUUGGACAAUGGGCGGAAGCCUGAUGCAGCGACGCCGCGUGGGGGAUGACGGCCUUCGGGUUGUAAACUCCUUUCGACGGCGAGGAAGCCACCUGGUUGGAAGGGUGGUGACGGUAGUGGUAGAAGAAGCACCGGCUAACUACGUG